GCCAGGUAGGAGGGUUGAGUUGAUUUCCGGUCGGAAAACGAGACUCCACUAGAAAAGCCGCCCUGAUAGGGGGUUGUGGAGGUUUCUUGCUGUGACCGUUUCUUCUAGAGUAAUCGCGGAACUGACUGUGCUAGGGUCACGCCACUGGCUCCGUUUCCUUUAUCCUUCUCGCUCACCAAAAGGUUUACCUGUCCAGUUACAAAGCGCACCUUGUUUUCCUAAGGCACGUGGCCCACGAAGAACUGCUUAAAAGUCCACCUGCUGUGGCAGUCUGCUUCUGGUGCUACUAUGUUGGACAGAAGUCCUUCCUGAUUUCUUGUUUCUCCACAUGGCUUGUGAAAACUUUUUAUGAGAGUCUUCCAAGUAUUUUGCACAGUUUAACCUCACACCAAACUGGAAUGUUCUGGAAGAAAGGCAUGCAAAAGAGAAGGUCCUUGGUACCAAGAAGGGUGUCUCCCCACUUCUGUGGAAAACAAAGUAGUCAAGAAAAGUAAUGAUUCUAACUCGGUAUGCCACUGAGGAAGAGAGGACGACGGGAGAGAGGAAAUGGUAAUGUCUUCAAGACAGAAGACAGAUGAAUGAAAUGCAAUUUCAAUUAAGAACGGCAGCAACGGUACUCCCCUUUUCUGUCUCCACUGAGAUCUAAGCGGAGAGCGCACACAGAAAUAAAGCACAGAGGAGAGGAGAGUCCUGAACAGAUCACGGCAGGGACCAGACGGAAACGCCCAAGCCAGGUGUCACACUCUCAAGGUAAAGACUGACAGACACCAAAAAAAAGAGGGGCAAGAGUCCUCAAAGGGGAGGCCAGGACCUCCGCAACUCACAAAGCGACUCUUUACAUGAAACAGAAGGUGGCACAUUCUCUGCAGGGGUCACUUGAUACAGGUGACAGGGAGAUAUCCUGACAAGGGCCCUUCAUCAGCCACUCCACACCACAGUGAUUUUUCCAGCAAGUGCAGUCUUGGGUUCUGCCGAUGGCAAGAGUCCCGGUAUUCUUCUGAAGUAGAAUUCCUAUGUUGUGGUCCCCAACCCUGGCUUGGGGGGCUGGGGUACGGUGACCAGUAUACUGAUCUGUGGCCUGUUAGGGACAGGGCUGCAGAGCUGCCCACCCCACCCACCCCAUGGAAAAACUGUCUUCCAUGAAACUUGGGGGGAGUGUGCACAACAGGAGGUGAAGCUCUCUUGCACUGUCCCCCUUCCAUAAACGGGUCCCUGAUGCCAUAAAGGUUGGAGACCACUGCUGUAGGGCAAUGGUGUCUGAACUGCUCUCUGGGGAAACCCAAAAUACCGCAGGGAUUGUGCAAAUUCGGAUUCCAAUUUCAUUUCAAAGGCUCUAAUAAUAAAGCAUACCCAAAUGGGUAUCUGCCAAAAUCUAACACCCUGGAGGCUAGGCGAACUAGUCGCAUGGCCAAGUUAACUCGUUUUUGUGUGGGCCUUGGCAUAAUACUUCUGCCAUUUCCACUUAAUUGAAGACUCUUCUGAGAUUACAAGGCAGGCUACUAAAAACCAAUACUAUUUGGAACUACUGUGGGAAUGAGGAUUUAUACAAUAAUGGACUAAAACAAAAUACAUAAACAAAACAGAAACUUAGCUGAUACCAUUUAACUACUUGUUAUAACUCUUACUUGUGAUCAAAAUGGUGAUCAACUUGGCUUUGUUCUCAUUUUUUGACUUAAUAAGUAACCAUUAACAAAUCUGAACUCCUAAAAUAACUGUAGUUAUCAAGUCUUGUAAAACACUGUUUAUACACUGGGUUCAAAUUAUAUUUCAUUUUUUUUUGAAAAGAGGGCUCCACUAAUAAAACUUUACAAACCCCUGUUCUACCUGAUGCAUAGAUUAAAAGUGGAGUGCACUCUUUGGAGAGCCUCCCUUGAGAAACAACAAAGAUAACUUAAAGUUUCUAGUAAGAACUUAAAAAACCUCACAGCUCUAAGUUCACAAAACAUUCUCAUAUACAUUUAACCGGCUAUGAAUACUAUAGUCGUGGGAAGGAUAAUGUGCCAAAAUGGAGAUAGCUGUGCAAUGGUGGUUGCCUUGAAAGUAUUUCUUUAUGCUGUAUUAUUUUCUUUUCAAUAAAAAAUGAGGAAAGAGAAUGAUCUCUUGAUGGCUUACCAUGGAAGCAAAACGAAGUCCCAGAAAGGGCCGCCUGCUUUCUGUGCAAUGCGGAAAAUGCUCAGAGUAGCAGUUGUCCUUGCUUUGAUAAUCUAACCAGACAGAAAGCUCCCACGGUGGUUUUCUCCCCCAAAGACAAGACCUUAGAAGCUCUCUCUCCAGAACAGUUGUCUAAUUUAUUCACUAAGCCAUUAGUUAAACACAUCUGUGAGUUCCUGCCUACUAGGUUCCAGCCAUUGCGAAUCCAAGUGGACGACAAGGUCACAUUCCUGCCCUCAUGGAACUUACCCUCCAGUAGAUCCACUUUGCAUAACGUAAGAUGGCUGCGUUACAUCUAGUUUUGUCACUGAACCAUCACAUCGACGUGUGCUUGGACAAGAAAAUCACCUCUUUGACUGUUGGCUCACCUGAGGGAUGACCAGGCUGGCCUUGGGUGGUCUAACAGGGCUGCCAUGAGGGGGUUCCAAGUUGGCCAUGUUCAAUACUAUCCAUGGCAGGGAACGUUAAAGAAUCAAGCCCCACCCACCCUUAAAAGACUCCUCAUUCCCGAGACUCUGAUACACGCUUCCCUGAAUCUUCCCCUGGCUGAUUAUGUAUCAAGGUUCUUCCACACCAAACACAAUAAUAAAUCAAAUCUUAUCAGAAUUGAGCUAUAAAUCUGUGAAGACUCCAAUAAUUUCCAGCCAAGGGAAUAACACCACAAAAGUACUUUUUAAACUAAUUACUCAGAUUCCGAAGUGCUGCCCUAAUGAGCCUUCUUUCUGCCCAGAACUUACUAAGAGGAAAAACUACCUUCUGGUGCAGUAAUUACUGCUUUCCCCUUCAAACUUCUAACUGGAGAUCGAUGCUGCAUUUUAAGACCCAUUGAUUUACAAUUAGCCUGGCUUUCCUGCUAAAGUGUUUUUUAAGCAGAGUUUACUUUUAUUUUAUUUUGAAAUCUCCAAGAUCUGGUUCUUGGAUUUUACAUUCUCAUGAGAGGGGACUGGAAACCUCAAAGAGGAAGACACACAUCAGAAGAGAGGGGAGUAGAAGGAUGCAAAUCAGACCAAGGAGAGUGGGGAUAGGGGGAAAGGAAAGCUGGUGUGUUCACAGGAUAAAUUCAGAGGCAAAAAAAAAAGCCAAACUCACGCUGAAGAGGAGGGAAUGAAGAAAAUCCAAAGAGAAGCAGAAGGCAAGGCGGCAGUGGGACAGCGCUAGGUGCUCAGCCUAAUAAAGUGUGGCUGCUGUCAAGGUGGCUCGAGCAGCUCUUUAUUGCCUCUGCUGUUUAUUAGCAUCCUCGGGAAGGGGAAAAGAAAGAAAAGAAAAAGCUUUGUGCAUCUUUGCAAAACAAAGCACUAGUUAAAAAUAGUGUGUGCAGCGGGGACAGUGUGCUAACAUGAGGGUCCUGGCAGCUCCGGCGUUUGCACAAUCUGUCCCAUGAGGAGAGCAGAAGUAAGCGAAGCAAUUAAGAAUUUCAUGCUGAUUGCUCCAAGCAUGUUUUCUACGCCAUAGAGAUAAUGGCAUAAAGGAUAAGGCCUUGCUUCUCUCCCUCCCCUCCCUGACAACUUCUGCCUUCUGGAUUCUGGACUCUCUUUCGCUUUGCCUCCUGUGUCUGAGAACUCGAGAUGCCGGUUAGCUGGGCUGGCACCACUUGAUGGAAUCUGUCACUUCCAUGCCUAAAGAAACUUCAGUCGUGCAAGAGUCUCUCCCUGCCCUCGAUCAAGAGCAAAGCCGGAAGAGGAGACAUAAGCCAAGCUGCACUAUUGAAGCCCUAAAAAUGGAAGCCUCAGAAACUGGGCAAACUGCCUCAGAGACCUACAGAUCCAGGCUCUCUCCAAGGCUCCCGCCCCUCCCAUUCUGGGCUCUUCAUUAUUGCUGGGUCCCAAGAAUGACUGACAGAAGAUGGUCUUGGAGAGAUGAAAUCCAAACGGAAAAAUUCUCAAACAAUAAGGGGGGGGAGCGGACAAAAACUACUAACUUUUUGCCUUUUUUAAAAUGUAUUUUAUAGCAAGAUUGUAUAGGCCAAUUUCAAAGACUAAUAUGAAAAAAGUGCAAUUAAAUCCUUGAAAAACUGACAGAUCAGCAAAACAAAACCACCCGGAGGAGAGCCCGAUUGAGCCUCAUUAAGAAAGAGUUCAGCCUGUUUUUAAAACCAUUCUUAACACUUAGCUGGGUACCUCCCAGCAGUGAGCACUCCCAAUGCAGCUGGCAUAAUUAGUGUCAGAAUGGAAAGAGAGAGAGAGAAAAAAAAAUAUCAACCUAGGAGAUAGAAAUUAAAACACAAAUUUGGGGUAGGGGGAUGUCCAAAUGGAAAAACCAUUCCGAAUUCAAACAACAAACUCAAAUUAGCCCGUCUGAGGGCAAUGGGCAGACAACAAAAUACUCCACCAUACAGAGAUAAAUAUGUUCCAAUUAAAUAGGAAAAGGUCUAGGGCAGAUUGAGAGGAUUUAUGCUGCAAUUCCCCAUCUUCAACCUCUCCCCAUUCCCUCCCAAAAUAUAUUCCACAUUGUGGUCACAUCAACUCCAGGAGGCCGGGUUAAUGGCAGACGGAUGGCAAAUUGCACCAACUUCUCCAUCAAUUACAACCAUCACGCCUGACAAUGGGGAAAAUGAGAUCUGGUGACAAAUUUCCACACCUUCAGCCAUGAGGAUCCCCCAAACAGUGUGGCGUGUGCACACUUAUGAACCCGUGGGUGCCUGAGCACGCGAGUGCACGCGUUACAUGCGAAGCCACCAGCCUGUACUAAGGAGAUACGGAGCUGAGAUCCAUUAUAGAAGAGCAGACCACUAAGGAAGAAAUACUCUGGAGAUGGAAAAGAUGGCAGGGAGACGAAGCCAUUUUAUUAAAUCAGGCAAAUUCUAAUUUAUUCUACAGAGACAGAGGAAAGAAAAUGGAUUCAUCCUCAGUAUAUCCUCUGAGCCAGCUCCUAUCCCCUCAGUGGCGGAGGGGGUGCGGGGAGGUUCCAAGGUUCAUCUGGAAAUCAAGGGAAGGCUUCCCCUUUAAAAAGCAAACAUUAACAUAUAUCUGUUUCAAUGCCUACACCAGGAAUAUGGAAAAUAAUGCUUACGCCGGAGAAACAAGGGAGAUUUUCUCUGGCUUUCUGAUUAUUCCAUCAGGU